AAAUUGAAGAGUUUGAUCAUGGCUCAGAUUGAACGCUGGCGGCAGGCCUAACACAUGCAAGUCGAACGGUAACAGGAAGCAGCUUGCUGCUUCGCUGACGAGUGGCGGACGGGUGAGUAAUGUCUGGGAAACUGCCUGAUGGAGGGGGAUAACUACUGGAAACGGUGGCUAAUACCGCAUAACGUCGCAAGACCAAAGAGGGGGACCUUCGGGCCUCUUGCCAUCAGAUGUGCCCAGAUGGGAUUAGCUAGUUGGUGAGGUAACGGCUCACCAAGGCGACGAUCCCUAGCUGGUCUGAGAGGAUGACCAGCCACACUGGAACUGAGACACGGUCCAGACUCCUACGGGAGGCAGCAGUGGGGAAUAUUGCACAAU
rnacentral:rRNA from 1 species